AGCUUUGCUCAGUGGCAGUAUCGUAGUCAAUGAGGUUUAUCCAAGGCGCAAUUAUUGCUAAUUGAAAAUGGCAUAAAUACAUACUUAUUAAUAACUACUCUGAAUGUAAAAGGAAUAAAUGUUACACUCAAAAGACAGAGU